rnacentral:rRNA from 1 species
UACGUAGGUGGCAAGCGUUGUCCGGAUUUACUGGGCGUAAAGGGCGUGCAGGCGGUCUGUUAAGUUCAGGGUGAAAGCUCCCGGCUCAACUGGGAGAGGUCCUUGGAUACUGGCAGACUUGAGGGAGGUAGAGGAGAGUGGAAUUCCCGGUGUAGUGGUGAUAUGCGUAGAUAUCGGGAGGAACACCAGUGGCGAAGGCGGCUCACUGGACCGGUACUGACGCUGAGGCGCGAAAGCGUGGGGAGCAAACAGG